rnacentral:rRNA from 1 species
AUUGAACGCUGGCGGCAGGCCUAACACAUGCAAGUCGAACGAGUGGCGGACGGGUGAGUAAUGUCUGGGAAACUGCCCGAUGGAGGGGGAUAACUACUGGAAACGGUGGCUAAUACCGCAUACUAUCGGAUGAACCCAUAUGGGAUUAGCUUGUAGGUGAGGUAAAGGCUCACCUAGGCGACGAUCCCUAGCUGGGCUGAGAGGAUGAUCAGCCCCACUGGGACUGAGAAACGGCCCAGAAUCCUACGGGAGGCAGCAGGUGGGAAUAUUGCAAAAUGGGCGCAAGCCUGAUGAAGGCAGGCCGCGUGUAUGAAGAAGGCCUUCGGGUUGUAAAGUACUUUCAGUCGGGAGGCGUUACCGACAGAAGAAGCACCGGCUAACUCCGUGCCAGCAGCCGCGGUAAUAC